CUAGCUACAGGCUUAACACAUGCAAGCGAGGGUAGCAGGGUAGCAAUACCGCUGACGACCGGCGCACGGGUGAGUAACACGUACUCCAACCUUCCCAUAACUCAGGGAUAGCCUUUCGAAAGAAAGAUUAAUACCUGAUAGUACUUUUUCAAGGCAUCUUGAGAAAGUUAAAGAUUUAUUGGUUAUGGAUGGGGAUGCGUUCCAUUAGAUAGUUGGUGAGGUAACGGCUCACCAAGUCUUCGAUGGAUAGGGGUUCUGAGAGGAAGGUCCCCCACAUUGGUACUGAGACACGGACCAAACUCCUACGGGAGGCAGCAGUGAGGAAUAUUGGUCAAUGGGCGAGAGCCUGAACCAGCCAAGUAGCGUGAAGGAUGAAGGUCCUAUGGAUUGUAAACUUCUUUUAUAGUAGAAUAAAGUGAUCCACGUGUGGAUUUUUGUAUGUAUACUAUGAAUAAGGAUCGGCUAACUCCGUGCCAGCAGCGGC
rnacentral:rRNA from 1 species